rnacentral:rRNA from 1 species
UACGUAGGGGGCGAGCGUUGUCCGGAUUCAUUGGGCGUAAAGCGCUUUAAGGCGGUUCGGUAAGUCGGGUGUGAAACCUCCAGGCUCAACCUGGAGACGCCACUCGAUACUGCUGUGACUAGAGUUCGGUAGGGGAUCACGGAAUUCCUGGUGUAGCGGUGAAAUGCGCGGAUAUCAGGAGGAACACCGGUGGCGAAGGCGGUGAUCUGGGCCGACACUGACGCUGUAGAGCGAAAGCGUGGGGAGCGAACAGG